rnacentral:lncRNA from 1 species
AUGGAUAAAGAACAAGUGGUUGAUCUACACCUCAAACUUUCUCGUUUAGAAAAAAAGGAAAAAGUAACAAAUUCCACAGAAUUGCAGCAUCAGUUAGAUAAAACAAAGCAACAGCAUCAAGAACAACAAGCUCUUCAGCAAAGCACUACGGCAAAACUUUGAGAAGCUCAGAAUGAUUGGGAAAAAGUGCUUCGUCAAUUUGGUGAUAAGGACCAAAAGAUCCAGAACCUUGAAGCCUUAUUACAGGAGAGUAAAGAAAAUAUUUCUUUCCUAGAAAAGGAAAGAGAAGAUUUUAUGCAAAAACUCAGGCUGGUGAAGGAGAGACCGCUGUUCUUAAUCAGUUGCAGGAAGAAAACCAUAUAUUACAGGAACAAGUAAGCUUGUCUAGUGUAUUCUAUUUCUAAAAUUUAUUUUUAAUCUCUCUAAAUCUUACAAAGUGCUUUAUGUAAAUGAUUCUGUUAAUUUUAGUGCUUGUAAAAUUAUUAUGUAUUUCUGAAAAAAACCGUCUCAUUUACCUUAGAGGUGGGUUGCUAUUGCAGUGAAAAUAAGUUAUUUACCAUGAUUUGAUAAAGGAAAUCUCAGUUCACACCCCAGGAUGUAACUUAUUACCUGUGUGACCAUAAGCAAAUCAUUUAACCAUGUUAACUCAUUGGAAAAGUAUAGUUAGUUCACACUGGGAAGUUAGACUUACUUCUUGGCAUUUUGUGAUGUUUUGAAAAGGAAAAGUAAGGAACAGAAUAUAUUUAUAAACUAUAUCAGGUGUUAGUUAUUUCUGUGUAUUGCUUAAUAUCCAGACGUAGUGGUUAUACAUAUAUUUGAUAAUGUACAUGUCUUUGGGAUAUAUAGUUAAUAACAAUUUUGAUAAGCAGACUUCUUAUUUUAACAUUUGUAUGUUAGUUUAAGUGAAACAUAAAAUUUAUUAGCUCAAUAUGUUUUCAAACUGUAAAGCAUUUAGUGUCACUUUUGGGGAAGAAUUGCCCAAUAGGUGAAUCAUAAUUAUCUAAAUGAAAAAGUUUUAAAAGUAUCAGUAGGCCAUAUCACUUUUCUAAUUUAGGUAUUAGAAUAUAACACAAAACUUUUUUCUGCAUUUCAAAGUUAGCCUUGGCUACCAGUUUUAUGAGGAAUUCUUUAGCCUAGUUUUUAGUUGGAAGUUGCAUACAACGUAACAUUUCAUAUUAUACAAAUAUCAGGAAAGCCUAUACAAUUUUUUAAAAAGAGUAGGUAAAAAUAAAUCUAUGUCCUUCUGCUUCUAGCUGUGUUGG